rnacentral:misc_RNA from 1 species
AAUGCUCAAACCUUCUUGGUUUCUUGACCAAGUCGGCUUUGGACUUUGGAGGUUGCUGGCUUUGCAAAAAGCCAGCUCCUCUUAAAUACAUUAGUAGGGUCUCCUUUGCCGAUCCCCAGGCGUGAUAAGUCGCUUCUACGUCUUGGGAUUUGCUCUGUUCCUUGAGAACCUGCUUCCAAUCGUCUCAUCGAAGACAUCGUUCGAGCUUGCUCGACCCACGAA